rnacentral:rRNA from 1 species
GUGCAGCAGUCGCGAAACCUCCGCAAUACACGAAAGUGUGACGGGGCCAUCCCGAGUGCCAUCCGCUGAGGACGGCUUUUCCUCAGUGUACACAGCUGGGGGAAUAAGGAGAGGGCAAGCCUGGUGUCAGCCGCCGCGGUAAUACCAGCUCUCCGAGUGGUGGGGACGCUUAUUGGGCCUAAAGCAUCCGUAGCCGGCUGGGCAAGUCCUCCGUUAAAUCCAACGAUUCAAUCGUUGGGCUGCGGGGGAUACUGUCCAGCUUGGGGGCGGGAGAGGCCGACGGUAUUCCCGGGGUAGGGGUGAAAUCCUAUAAUCCCGGGAGGACCACCAGUGGCGAAGGCUGUCGGCUAGAACGCGCCCGACGGUGAGGGAUGAAAGCUGGGGGAGCGAACCGGAUUAGAUACCCGUGUAGU